rnacentral:lncRNA from 1 species
ACUUCUACAACAAAAUCCUCACUACUAAAAAUCUUGAGAAGAAACGAAUAGAAGGACUGGAGAUUUUCCCUCUCUGCUUAGAUCAAAAAGAAUUUACAGAUCAACUCUUCACCCAGUGCUCCUACUCUACUCGCCUUUGGAUUUUGCUAUCUAAAUCGGGUAAACGAUGUCAGAUUCCUUCAACCUACAAAGAUCUUUGGAACCUCUAUUGAUCGGCAGACGAAGAUAAGGAAGAAACUAAAGCAUGGGACCGUCUAUUGGCCAUUUUCUGUUGGUGCAUUUGGAUUGAACGGAACAAGCGUUUAUUUGUAUUUAAGGCCCGAUCCUAUCUAGAAGUCAGAAAAUCCAUCGCUUACGUAUAUAAUGGCUGGGCGAUAAGAGAUGA